UAAGGAGGCGGCCGCAUACGACUUCGACGCGGACCGCAGACCAGCGCUAAUCUCGUCGGGGCCUCUGACCAGCUCUAGUGUCGCCGGGGGCCGCCGCGAUGAAGCCUCUCGACCGCGGCGGGGAAGCGGUUGGUGGAAUCUUCCUCGGCGUUGACUUCACGAAGCCGGCCGGCCGCCCGGCACGUUGUCUCCCUCGGCGCACUAAGGGGCGUGGGGCUCAUGGUGUGCUUCCAGUUUAAGCUCUGGUGGAUGGCGCAGCGGAUAGGCGAGGAGCAUGCAGGUGUUAUCGAUAUCGAUUUCAACAAAGAUCGAUUACUGGAUCUUAACGAAGAUAUGAUGCAAUCAGAGCAGCAAGCCUUGGAUGCGCCAGCAACGAAAGAGGAUUUGGAAACGGGCUCACUGGGCCAACAAGACGGAAUGGGAAGGUACGUUCUAGCAUAUGAGUAGUCAUGUUCUCGAUGAAUUAGUCGUGUGCAUUUGCAAAUGUUCCAUGAUUUAGACAGUGAGCAGCAUGAUUCAUCAUGUGGCUUCAGUGAAUCAAGCAAACCAUAUGGGGGGCAGAACAAAUUGUUCGUAUACGUGCAGAGGAACGGCGAUGACGACUAAACGGCAGCCAGAUCUCGUGCAUUGUGUUGAAUCUUGCUUAGCAAAGCUGCUGCGGCUGGAUCUGGCAUCCAGGCCAAGUGCUCCAUGUGUUCACGCUGCACUGAAGCUCGAGCUCCUGCCUCUGGGUGCGCAAGCUGCAGUGCUUCCUUGAGGGAGCAUCACUUGUUCCUGUGCAUUGCCUCAAUAAGCAGUAACCGGUGGAGGGCGAUGCUAGGCAUCACAGCACAAUGCCGGCCAAGAGUGCUGAAUCAGGCUAUUAUUCAGUCUAUUAUGCUAAGAUGUACAAUGGACCUAAACUGAACUGAAAAUGUUCAAGGGAAUGGAGAAAUUUUUUCAUGCUACAAGCUAUCGAAGAUUUAUGGUCACCAAUCGGAGAUAUAGAUCAGACUUGGCUGUCGUGUUUCAUUUUGGAGACAUCAGGAUCUGUUCGUGUCAUUCCAAUAGUAUCUAGUUAAAAGAUUUCCCGUGUUCUAUGUGCACGUAAAGAUCUCAUGUACAUAGUCCUUCCUUACUAGCUUAUAUACUUUAUGUUGCAAGUAUGUUGUAACUACUAUCGAAUUGUUCCCACAUGCUUUAUUUUUGGGGCAUCAAGGCCUGUUUGAUAAAUUUUUAUGCCCCCGAUAAGCUUCGUAUUU